UACGAAGGGAGCUAGCGUUGUUCGGAAUCACUGGGCGUAAAGCGCACGUCGGCGGAUUUGCCAGUCAGGGGUGAAAUCCCGGGGCUCAACCUCGGAACUGCCUUUGAUACAGCAAGUCUUGAGUUCGAGAGAGGUGGGUGGAAUUCCUAGUGUAGAGGUGAAAUUCGUAGAUAUUAGGAAGAACACCGGUGGCGAAGGCGGCCCACUGGCUCGACACUGACGCUGAGGUGCGAAAGCGUGGGGAGCAAACAGG
rnacentral:rRNA from 1 species